GCGGCCGUGACCCUGCGGGAGUGCGGGGGGGACCUCCAGCCCCCCAGGGAGUCCCUGCACCUCCUCUGCCAAGGGUCCGGGUUCACUUUCGGGAGUUAUAAAAUGUUCUGGGUGCACCAGAGCCCCGGGCAGGGGCUGGAAUACAUUACAGAUAUCAGCAAUACUGGUGGCUACACCGGCUACGCGCCGUCGGUCAAGGGCCGGUUCAGGAUCUCCAGGGACAACGGGCAGAGCUUGGUGACGCUGACCAUGAACAACCUCAAGGACGAGGAUUCCGGAUCCUAUUUCUGUGCCAAAUGUUACAGCAGUGGCUGUGGUAAUGGCGCUUAUGCUUAUGGUGUUGAUGGUGGUUGUGGUCCCAAGCCCUUUUUUCUGCGUUUCCAACUGCUGGCGCUGCUUGGGCUGCUGCGGCUACUUACAUUGACCGUGCUGGUGUAG